rnacentral:rRNA from 1 species
GAUGAACGCUGGCGGCGUGCCUAAUACAUGCAAGUCGAGCGAACAGACGAGGAGCUUGCUCCUCUGACGUUAGCGGCGGACGGGUGAGUAACACGUGGAUAACCUACCUAUAAGACUGGGAUCACUUCGGGAAACCGGAGCUAAUACCGGAUAAUCUAUUGAACCGCAUGGUUCAAUAGUGAAAGACGGUUUUGCUGUCACUUAUAGAUGGAUCCGCGCCGCAUUAGCUAGUCGGUAAGGUAACGGCUUACCAAGGCAACGAUGCGUAGCCGACCUGAGAGGGUGAUCGGCCACACUGGAACUGAGACACGGUCCAGACUCCUACGGGAGGCAGCAGUAGGGAAUCUUCCGCAAAGGGCGAAAGCCUGACGGAGCAACGCCGCGUGAGUGAUGAAGGUCUUCGGAUCGUAAAACUCUGUUAUUAGGGAAGAACAAAUGUGUAAGUAACUAUGCACGUCUUGACGGUACCUAAUCAGAAAGCCACGGCUAACUACGUG